rnacentral:rRNA from 1 species
AGUGAACGCUGGCGGUAGGCCUAACACAUGCAAGUCGAACGGCAGCACAGUAAGAGCUUGCUCUUACGGGUGGCGAGUGGCGGACGGGUGAGGAAUACAUCGGAAUCUACUUUUUCGUGGGGGAUAACGUAGGGAAACUUACGCUAAUACCGCAUACGACCUACGGGUGAAAGCAGGGGAUCUUCGGACCUUGCGCGAUUGAAUGAGCCGAUGUCGGAUUAGCUAGUUGGCGGGGUAAAGGCCCACCAAGGCGACGAUCCGUAGCUGGUCUGAGAGGAUGAUCAGCCACACUGGAACUGAGACACGGUCCAGACUCCUACGGGAGGCAGCAGUGGGGAAUAUUGGACAAUGGGCGCAAGCCUGAUCCAGCCAUACCGCGUGGGUGAAGAAGGCCUUCGGGUUGUAAAGCCCUUUUGUUUGGAAAGAAAAGCAGCAGGUUAAUACCCUGCUGUUCUGACGGUACCCAAAGAAUAAGCACCGGCUAACUUCGUG